rnacentral:lncRNA from 1 species
UGUAGGUCUUCUCCAACCCUGGUCAUUCUAUGAUUCUAUCAAGUGAUCAGCAGGACAUUGGAGAGGCUCGGUGACUCCACCACCUCUCUGGGCAGCCCAUUCCAGUGCCUGACCACCCUUUCAGAGAAGGAGUAUUUCCUAACGUCCAGCCUGAAUCUUCCCGGCGCAGCUUGAAGCCAUUCCCUCUCGUCCUAUCACUGUCACCCGAGAGAAGAGGCUGACCCCCAGCUCACCACAACCUCCCUUCAGGUCAUCAAUAAAGAUAUUAAACAGGACAGGCCCCAGCACCGACCCCUGGGGAACACCACUCGUGACCGGUCGCCAGCUGGAUUUAACUCCAUUCACCACCACUCUCUGGGCCCGGCCCUCCAGCCAGUUCCUUACCCAGCAAAGAAUGUGUCUGUCCAAGCCACGAUCUGCCAGCUUCUGGAGGAGAAUACUGUGCGAGACAGUGUCAAAGGCUUUGCUGAAGUCUAGGUAGACCACAUCAACAGCCUUUCCCUCAUCCAGCAGACGGG